GACGAACGCUGGCGGCGUGCCUAAUACAUGCAAGUUGAGCGCUGAAGGUUGGUACUUGUACCAACUGGAUGAGCAGCGAACGGGUGAGUAACGCGUGGGGAAUCUGCCUUUGAGCGGGGGACAACAUUUGGAAACGAAUGCUAAUACCGCAUAAAAACUUUAAACACAAGUUUUAAGUUUGAAAGAUGCAAUUGCAUCACUCAAAGAUGAUCCCGCGUUGUAUUAGCUAGUUGGUGAGGUAAAGGCUCACCAAGGCGAUGAUACAUAGCCGACCUGAGAGGGUGAUCGGCCACAUUGGGACUGAGACACGGCCCAAACUCCUACGGGAGGCAGCAGUAGGGAAUCUUCGGCAAUGGACGAAAGUCUGACCGAGCAACGCCGCGUGAGUGAAGAAGGUUUUCGGAUCGUAAAACUCUGUUGGUAGAGAAGAACGUUGGUGAGAGUGGAAAGCUCAUCAAGUGACGGUAACUACCCAGAAAGGUACGGCUAACUACGUG
rnacentral:rRNA from 1 species